AUUGAACGCUGGCGGCAGGCCUAACACAUGCAAGUCGAACGGCAGCACAGAAGAGCUUGCUCUUUGGGUGGCGAGUGGCGGACGGGUGAGUAAUGUCUGGGAAACUGCCCGAUGGAGGGGGAUAACUACUGGAAACGGUAGCUAAUACCGCAUAACGUCGCAAGACCAAAGUGGGGGACCUUCGGGCCUCACACCAUCGGAUGUGCCCAGAUGGGAUUAGCUAGUAGGUGGGGUAAUGGCUCACCUAGGCGACGAUCCCUAGCUGGUCUGAGAGGAUGACCAGCCAACCUGGAACUGAGACACGGUCCAGACUCCUACGGGAGGCAGCAGUGGGGAAUAUUGCACAAUGGGCGCAAGCCUGGUGCAGCCAUGCCGCGUGUAUGAAGAAGGCCUUCGGGUUGUAAAGUACUUUCAGCGGGGAGGAAGGCGGUGAGGUUAAUAACCUUGCCGAUUGACGUUACCCGCAGAAGAAGCACCGGCUAACUCCGUGCCAGCCGCCGCCGUAACAC
rnacentral:rRNA from 1 species